UAAAUAAAAAAAUUAAAACUAUAGACUAAAUGUUUUGCUGUGAAAGUGUGUUAUUUAUAUCUUCAACAUGAGAGAAUGCAUCAUUGGUGGUGUGAGAUAAAACCAUUGUGUCUUUCUAACCCACAUCUAACAAAUAUUUUAUCGAAUUGGGCCUUAAAAUAAUAAUAAGUGAAGACUCAAUAACACUAAAAAUGCAGCGAAUAUUCUAGCUCUACAAUGUUCUUCGGUAUAAUUAGAGUUAAAAAUUUGUGGAGACUAUAUAUAACUCAUUUUGCCUCCCAUGGGUCAUAAGCAAGCAAAAAAAAUGGAGCAAACUUUCAUCAUGUAGAAAACUUGUCUUUCUUUCUUUAAUACAUAUUUGAAGGUCUAAAAGAGUUAGGCAAGAUGUGUUAGCGACAGUGUUUUCGAAUGUGAUGAGAAAUAAUCUUUAAGAACAAGUGGUUAUGUACAAAUUUAUGCGAAUAGAUGAUAAAGUAGAUACAACAAAAUGAUUGAGUAGCAAGAGAUGGAGAAAGAGAACUUUGCUCUAUUAAAAAAUGUGUUUGAGAUCAUUUUAUCAAUUUUUGAAGUAAUUGGCUACAUCGAAUAAUUUAUGUACUUAUAUAUAGUUUCUAUAUCAAUUCAUAUACUUGAUAUAUAUAUUAUAAAA
rnacentral:sRNA from 1 species